GCAAACCUACAAAGGGUCAAAUUGCAGUCGUCAGCCGACGCUCACAGGGAGUACGCCGGUGACAAGCUAAUCGCCAGUGGAUGGGGCAGGACCUGGACUAAUGGUUUAACAACAGACGUGCUGCAGUGGGUGUACUUGGUGGGUGUGGAGCAGUUCACUUGCAGCAGAACCUUUGGCAGCGUGGUGAACGCUAACUCCAUAUGCGCUCGCCACUACAACGUCACCUCGCAAUCCAUCUGCCAGGGAGACAGCGGUGGUCCUCUGGUGUACACGGACUCAGAUGGAGUGCGCGUGCUCGUGGGCAUCAGCAGCUUCGUGGCCGGCGCUCAAAGCGGAGGCUGCCACUCGGGACACCCUGCUGGUUUCAUCCGCCCGGGACCGUUCCAUUCCUGGUACCAAGAAGUCACUGGCAUCGACUUCGAGAAUUUAGACGAUGAACCACCAACAACAGCUGCGCCAACAACAACAACAGCUGCGCCAACAACAACCACAACAGAAGCACCACCUGCAACAACGCUGCCACCAACAGUGCCUACAACAUCCGCACCAGAUGUGACUCCAGAACCAGAAGAGGAGGAUGAAGAUGA